UCAAGGCAAGGGCUGGCUUCUCAUUGGCUCCUUAUAGGCUCCCAUGAAUGUUCCCAUGUAUCUGACCAGAUACAUGCUCAAGGGUGCUUCUCCUUUACAGCUCACGCCAGCUCACACCUUGCUGUCUUAUCCACAAGUGAUCCCAUAAUCAGCCACACGAGUUUCUUCUUCCUUGGGGCUCAAGACAGACUUGUUCAAACUUCAGGAUGUGUACGGAUUGCUUGCACUGACCGUACAACACCCUAAUAUUGCACAAGUCCUAAAAUGUCCCAAAUGGCCGAGUUAUGCAAUAUGGUUCGACCCUGAUCCGUACUGAUCCGUACUGGUCUCCUUAUCUUUGCACACUCAACCAUUUGCUCCCAAUCACACUUCUAAGUCCCUCCCGGACUUGGCCCUAUCUUUGCACAACCCAUCUCAAUCCUACUCCUCCUUUGGCUCCAUUCUUUUCUUC
rnacentral:lncRNA from 1 species